ACUGACACUCGGAUUAAGAUAAGAUAAUAAAGGCCAUCUUAUCUUAAUCCGAGUGUCAGUCUGA
ensembl:miRNA oni-mir-10813-2 oni-mir-10813-2